AUCCAGCUGAUGAGUCCCAAAUGGGACGAAACGUGCGUCCUAGAU
rnacentral:hammerhead_ribozyme from 1 species